rnacentral:piRNA from 1 species
UGAGCCCCAAAGUACGCAAGGGCUACA